CGAUGAAUGCUAGCCGUUGGGGUGCAUGCACCUCAGUGGCGCCGCUAACGCUUUAAGCAUUCCGCCUGGGGAGUACGGUCGCAAGAUUAAACUCAAAGGAAUUGACGGGGGCCCGCACAAGCGGUGGAGCAUGUGGUUUAAUUCGAAGCAACGCGCAGAACCUUACCAUCCCUUGACAUGGCAUGCGAACCGGAGAGACCCGGUGUUCCCUUCGGGGACGUGCACACAGGUGCUGCAUGGCUGUCGUCAG
rnacentral:rRNA from 1 species